rnacentral:rRNA from 1 species
UACGUAGGGGGCAAGCGUUGUCCGGAAUCAUUGGGCGUAAAGCGCGUGUAGGCGGCCCGAUAAGUCCGCUGUGAAAGUCCAGGGCUCAACCCUGGGAUGCCGGUGGAUACUGUCGGGCUCGAGUCCGGAAGAGGAGUGUGGAAUUCCUGGUGUAGCGGUGAAAUGCGCAGAUAUCAGGAGGAACACCAAUGGCGAAGGCAGCUCGCUGGGACGUGACUGACGCUGGGACGCGAAAGCGUGGGGAGCAAACAGG